AUAAAUUUAAUAGUAUGAUAUUAGUAGUAGGAUUCAAGAUAUAAAGUUAUAUACAUAAAUUUGUUAGGUUGAAUCAUGAAGUUAUUGAGCUGGAUUUGGUGUUUGAAUUUCAUGAACCUAUGUGGUUCAAAGAUAUAGGUUAUAAAUUUUGAGCUGAAUUUUUAUGUAUGGAUUUAUAUACAUAUAUAGUUCGAAUAUGAAUUACAGCUUCUUUGAACUGAAAUUAUUGUUGUGAAUUAUACAAGUAUGUUUUAAGUGCAUGAUUGUUACGUAGAAUUGAAUAUAAUUCAAUUCCAACGGAGAAACGACUAUCGGAUUUAUUGCCAGUGAAAUUAUUCAGACUAUACGUCUAGCAGACUAAGUGCCGGUGAACUGAAUCAGGCUAUAGGCCUAGCAGGCUAAGUGCCGGUGAACUGAAUCAGGCUAUAGGCCUAGCAGGCUAAGUGCCGGUGAACGGAAUUAAACUAUAAGCCUAUCAGGUGAAGUGCCAGUGAAUCUGUUUAAAUUAAGUGAUUCUAUGCAUUGGGCAUAAAUAUAUAUGAUUUUGUUUAUAUGAAAUGGAUAAAUUUAUGAACAUUGUUUCAAGGUGGUUGAUGAGUAUAUAAUCGUUCGAAUCCUUGUGAAUAGUGAGUAUGUAUAUAUAUAUCGGUUGUCAUGAAAUUGUUGGAUAUAUAUGAAUAUAUAUGUAUGCAUUCGGCAUAGGUGGGUAUAAGUGUAUAUGUGCAUUCGGCACUUAUAGUUGAUAAGUAUAAAAAUUAUGCUUUUGGUAUAUGUAUUUGAACAAUUAUAUUUAAAUGGAUCCGAUGAAGUGCGAACAAUAAGUACUAUAGAAAUCAGUAAAUGCAGUUAAUGAUUAUGUAGUAAAUUGAUUAUAUGCAUAUAAUGUAUAUACAUUUGUCCGUUUAUGUGUAUUAGAUAAAUACACAUCCUUUUAGAUUUAAACAAAAUGACUUAAUAUAGCAAUGUUUGAUUAGUAAUUAUAAUUGAUAAUUGUGAUUUCAAUAAAUUUACUUAAAGAUUUAUUUGAUUCUUUUAUAUGUAUUUUAGAUAUGCUAUAGACUUACUAAGCUAUAAAAGCUUACUUUGAUUGUUUUUGUCUAUUUGUUUUUAUAGAUUUUGGAGACGCGUUACGAGCUCGGGGAUCAUCAGCAUAGUCUAUCACACUAUCGACUACUUUUGGUAUUUUUUUAAAUAUUUGAACUUAAUCUUAUGGCAUGUAUAGGUUUGAGUACGAUGUUAGUUAGAUUUUGAUUGGAAAUUAUAAAUAGCAAUGCGAAAAUGAUUUAAUUUUCAUGUUUGUGAUCAGUUUGGUUUUAAAAAUGGUUGUGUUUGUUCGGUAAUGCCUCGUAACCCUAAUUCGGUGACGUAUACGGGUUAGGGGUGUUACAUUUUAUUUGUAUCAGAGCUACGGUUUAGUCGAUUCUCGGACUAACGUAGUGUAUAUGAGUCUAGCUAUACAUGCCAUAAUUUUUAUACUGAGAUAGUGUGAUGACUGCUGGCAUCUAAAAAUGUGUUUUCGUAUAGUAAUGGAUCCCGAACGAGCCGUAGCCGAUGAUGUUGAGAGUAUAGCGCCUGCUCCCGCGCAAGGGACAGAGCCGGUAGAUUCUUGACCGACCUCGAAUAACCAGGAGGGAGAGGCUAAACAAGCCUUUUACCAAAUGAUGAAUGACUGGUUUACUCAAUAUGUCUGAACUAAUCCGGUUGUACAACAACCUCCAACCCCGACUAAUCCAUCUUCGGUUCCUGUUAUACCUCAAGUAAGUGAUCCGAUGAGAUUACUUAAACCUUCUGUUGAUAAAAUUUGAAAACACGAGGCCGAAGAGUUCAGAGCUACUGAUGAUGAUGACGCUGAGCGAGCUGAAUUCUAGCUAGAUAAUACUAUUCGAGUAUUUGAUGAGUUAUCUUGCACCCCUGACGAGUGCUUGAAAUGUGCCAUAUCCUUGCUACGGGACACUGCAUAUCACUGGUGGAAUACACUAGUAUCGGUGGUUCCGAAAGAGCGAGUGACCUGGGAAUUCUUUCAGACUGAGUUCCGUAAGAAAUAUAUUAGCGAGAGAUUCAUUGAUCAGAAACGUAAGGAAUUUCUUGAAUUGAAAUAGGGUCGGAUGACAGUGACAGAAUAUGAACGGAAAUUUGUAAGACUCAGUAGAUAUGCUCGAGAGUGUGUUUCGACUGAAGCUAUUAUGUGUAAAAGAUUUGAAGAUGGGCUGAAUGAAGAUAUUAAACUGUUAGUGGACAUACUUGAGAUAAAGGAGUUCGUAGUACUUGUUGAACGAGCUUGUAAAGCUGAGGAGCUCGGGAAAGAGAAGAGGAAAGCUGACUAUGAAGCUCGAGAUUCCCGUAAACGAUCAUUUAGUAAAUCGUUCCAGUCGACCUUAAGGAAAUCCAGAGAGGAUCAUAGCCGAUCUAAAGCUACUACAGGGUUUCCUAAGUAUGAUCGAGAUCGACCCCUUGUGAGUUCACGAGCUACUUCAGUUGCUAGCGUUGGUAGUGUUCGACAAAAUAGAUCAGAGUGCAAGCAUUGUGGGAAAUGGCAUCCUGGAGAUUGCGGAUUACAUGAUCGGUCUUGCUUCAAGUGUGGUUCAAAGGAUCAUUUCAUUCGAGAGUGUCCGAUGGUAGCUGAUCAAAAUACUGUACAGAAUACCAGACCGAGUAAUGUGUCAGUACGGGGUAAACCGCCAAGGCAUUUGGGUAAUGUAAGUGGUAGUCAGAGAGGGACAAAGGACACAGCAGUUCGAUCUGAGGCUCGUGCACCUGCCAGAGCAUAUGCUAUCCGAGCUCGAGAGGAGGCUUCUUCUCCAGAUGUUAUUACUGGUACUUUCACUCUUUAUGAUACUAAUGUUAUUGCGUUGAUUGAUCCUGGUUUGACUCAUUCUUAUGUGUGUGAGACCUUAGUAUUCAGUAAGACUCUACCUAUUGAGUCUACUGAGUUUGUAAUUAAAGUAUCAAAGCCCUGGGCCGGUGUGUGUUGGUUGACAAAGUGUGUAAGAAUUGUCUGUUGAUGAUUCGAGAUUUAUGUUUUCCCGCUGAUUUGAUGUUGUUGCCAUUCGACGAGUUUGAUAUAAUUUUGGGUAUGGAUUGGUUAACUCUGCAUGAUGCUAUUGUAAACUGCAAACGAAAAACUAUUGAUCUACGGUGUCGGAAUGAUAAGAUUAUUCGGAUUGAAUCUAAUGAUCUGAAUUGUUUACCAGCAAUAAUAUCCUCGACGUCGGCUCAGAAGUAUGUGUGAAAAGGUUGUGAAGCUUAUCUUGCAUUUGUUCUUGAUAAUAAAGUGACCGAAAAGAAGAUUGAAUCCGUGCCAGUAGUGUAUGAGUAUUCAGAUGUGUUUCCUGAAGAAUUACCGGGUUUGCCACCUAUUCGUGAGGUAGAGUUUAGUAUUGAGUUAGUACCAGGGACGACUCCAAUCUCGAUAGCUCCGUACCGUAUGGCACCGACCGAAUUAAAAGAAUUGAAAGUACAGUUGCAAGAGUUGACUGAUAAAGGUUUUGCAUGACCGAGUUUCUCUCCUUGGGGUGCACCAGUUCUGUUUGUGAAAAAGAAAGACGGAACGAUAAGAAUAUGUAUUGAUUACCGGCAGCUCAAUAAGGUGACUAUAAAGAAUAAAUAUCCGUUGCCACGUAUUGACGAUUUGUUUGAUCAGCUAAAAGGGGCUUCAGUGUUUUUGAAGAUAGAUUUGAGAUCAGGUUACUAUCAGUUGCGAGUUAAAGACUCUGAUGUGCCAAAAACAGCUUUCCGAACGAGGUAAGGACAUUACGAGUUCCUGGUUAUGCCUUUUGGACUUACUAAUGCACCUGCUAUUUUCAUGGAUUUGAUGAAUCGGAUCUUUAGGAAGUAUUUGGAUCGGUUUGUGGUAGUAUUUAUUGAUGACAUUUUGAUCUACUCUCGUGACGAAAAUGAGCAUGUCGAACAUCUGAGACUUGUGUUAAAAACUUUACGAGAUAAGCAGUUGUAUGCAAAGUUUAGUAAAUGUGAGUUCUGGUUACGUGAAGUCAGUUUUCUGGGCCAUGUUGUAUCAGCAUCGGGUAUUCGGGUUGAUCCGAGUAAAAUUUCAGCUAUACUUGAUUGGAAACCUCUGAGGAAUGUUUUGAAAGUUCGAAGUUUUCUGGGGCUCGCUGGUUAUUAUAGACGGUUCGUGAAAAGGUUCUCUGUGAUUGCGACCCCGAUGACAAAGUUACUACAAAAAGACGUUAAGUUCGAGUGGUCAGAAAAGUGUCAGAAAAGUUUUGAUCAAUUGAAAGUUCUUUUGACCGAAGGUCCAGUCUUAGUUCAGCCAGAAUCGGGUAAAGAGUUUGUUAUUUAUACUGAUGCAUCCUUAAAUGGUUUGGGCUGUGUUUUGAUGCAGGAAGGCAAAGUUGUAGCCUAUGCCUCGAGGCAGUUAAAGCCGUAUGAAAAAAACUAUCCAACGCACGAUCUGGAAUUAGCCGCUAUUGUAUUUGCGUUGAAAAUUUGGCGCCACUAUCUGUUUGGUGAAAAAUGUCAUGUUUAUUCCGAUCACAAAAGCCUGAAGUAUUUGAUGACUCAGAAGGAUCUGAAUUUGAGACAGCGCCGAUGGUUAGAAUUACUAAAAGAUUACGAGCUUGUGAUUGACUAUCAUCCGGGAAAGGCUAAUGUUGUUGCUGAUGCCCUAAGUCAAAAAUCACUGUUUGCUUUGCGUGCAAUGAACGCGCAUGUGGCUAUGUCUGAUGAUGGAGCGAUAGUAGCUGAGUUGAAAGUAAAACAUUAUUUGUUCAACAGAUUUGUGAAGAUCAGAAAGCCGAUGAUGAUUUAAUUGCAAAACGAACUCAGUGUGAUUUAAAUGUUGAUUCAAAGUUUCUAGUUGAUGCUGAGGACUGUUUGAGAUUCAGAAACAGAUUAUGUGUUCCGAAAAAUCCAGAGUUAAUUCAGAUGAUUUUGAAUGAAGCCCAUAAUAGUCAAUUUUCUGUUCAUCUGGGUAGUACGAAAAUGUAUAACGAUCUGAAACAACACUAUUGGUGGCAUGGUAUGAAACGAGACAUUUCUGACUUUGUUUCGAAAUGUUUAAUAUGUCAGCAAGUAAAAGCCGAGCAUCAGGUACCUUCUGGAUUGCUUCAGCCGGUCAUGAUACCUGAAUGGAAAUGGGACAGAGUUACGAUGGAUUUUGUAUCCGGUUUACCGUUAACACCAAGCAAGAAAGAUGCAAUUUGGGUUGUUGUUGAUAGAUUAACAAAAUCGGCUCACUUUGUUCCGGUCCGUAUUGAUUAUUCACUUGAUAAACUUGCUGAAUUGUACAUUUCUCAGAUUGUGAGGUUGCACGGAGUACCUGUUUCUAUUAUUUCAGACAGAGACCCGAGAUUUACAUCGCGGUUUUGGAAGAAAUUACAAGAUGCUUUAGGUACGAAGCUAUAUUUUAGCACAGCUUUUCAUCCGCAAACAGAUGGUCAAUCCGAGCGAAUCAUUCAGAUACUUGAGGAUAUGUUGAGAUGUUGCAUUCUCGAGUUUAAAGGUACGUGGGAACGAUACUUACCUUUGAUUGAAUUUGCUUAUAAUAAUAGCUUUCAAUCUAGUAUCAAAAUGGCACCUUACGAAGCUUUGUACGGUCGUAAAUGUCGUACACCAUUGUAUUGGACCGAGCUCAGUGAAAAUAAGAUACACGGGGUUGAUUUGAUUAAAGAGACCGAACAGAAAGUGAAAGUGAUUCGGGAUAGUCUGAAAUCAGCAUCGGACCAUCAGAAAUCUUAUGCGGAUUUGAAAAGAAAGGAUAUAGAAUUUCAGAUCGGGGACAAAGUGUUUUUGAAAGUAUCACCGUGGAAGAAAAUACUCAGAUUCGAUCGUAAAGGCAAAUUGAGUCCGAGAUUCAUUGGACCGUAUGAGAUUAUAGAGCGUGUCGGACCGGUUGCUUAUAGAUUGAUGUUACCUCCUGAGCUAGAAAAGAUUCACAAUGUAUUUCAUGUUUCGAUGCUUCGUAGGUAUCGAUCCGAUCCUACACAUGUGAUUAGUCCGUCAGAGAUUGAGACUAGAUCUGAUAUGUCAUAUGAAGAAGAACUGAUUUACAUUCUAGCUCGUGAGGUCAAAGAGUUACGAAAUAAGAAAAUUUCGUAAGUCAAAGUAUUGUGGCAUAAACACGGAGUUGAAGAAGCAACUUGGGAGUCAGAAGAUGCAAUGAAAGAACGUUAUCCAAACCUAUUCAUCGGUAAGAUUUUCGGGGACGAAAAUCCCUAAAGGGGGGAGAGUUGUAACAACCCGAUUUCGACUCUAAUUGGACAUAGUGGUUUCGGGACCACAAGUCCGAGUUAAAAAAUAUUUUAAUAUUAUUUUGUGUGUUUAUUAUGUGUGAAUUUAAUUGUGUGAAAUUUUCGUGUUUUAAUUUUGUCGUUUGAGUGUCUGAUUAAAUAAAAAAGAUUAAAUCGCGUAAAAUGAAAAUUUUGUGAUUAAAUAUGAAAGUGUUUAAUUGUUGUUGUCUUUAUAAUUUGGAGGUUCUAUGAUGCAAUUAGCCCACUAUAUAAGUUAGUGGAUGCCAAUGGUCAAGAAUGACCUUAUAUUAUAUGUUUUGUAUAUUAAUUAUUUAAGGUUAAAUUGGUAAACUAAAAAUUUUGAUAAUAUAUGUUAUAAUAAAACAUAAAAAUAAAAGAAACAUGCAAAAAGGUUCAUCAUUUUAGCCGAAACUUCAAAAGACAAAGAAAAAAAAAGAAAGCUUGGUUCGGCACUUGUAAUCCUUAAUUUAGGUAUGUAUUUUGUUGGGUUUUUAAAAUUUUUUACGUUUUUAAGAUCGUUGCUUCGUGUUCUUCAAAACCCAUGUUUUAAUUUUGUGAAUUGUGAAUAAUUUUGAAAUGUGCCAUUGAUGAAUGUUGAGUUUUAUGAUGCUAGUAGGUGAAAUAUGAAAUAUAUUUGUUAGAUUAACAUGUAUUGUUUUUGAAUUUUUGAUGAAAUUGAGUAAUUAGGGUUAAAUUGUGAAAAUAAAUUUUUCAAGGGACUAAAAUGCUAAAUAAAUGAAAAUAUGGAAUUAUAUAGACACUAGGAAUAUUCGGCCAUAGGAGUGUAGUUAAAUUUUGUGUAUUUUGUGUUUUGAGCAAAAAGGAUUAAAUUGUAAAAAGUGUGAAAUGUUAGGGGAAAAAUUAUAAUUUUCCCAUUCAUGUAUUUUUAGGAUAAAUUGAAUAGAAUGGUGUUUAAAUAAGCUUAAUUUGAAUAUGAUUUAGAUCAAGAAUUAAAGGAAUCGGAUUUGGAUCGGGGAAAGACAAAAGUGGUCGAGUAGCCGAUUUAACAGUCAACGAUAUCCGAGGUAAGUCUAUUAGCAAUUUAAUGUUAUUAACUCAACAUAUAUAUGUGUGUGUAUAUUUAUUAUAUAAUUGAUGAGCUAUAAUUAAAAGUAUAUAAAUUGAAUUUAGUUAAUAUAAGCAUUUAUAUAUGUAAAUAAGAAGUUCGAAUAAGUAUGUAUAUAUAAGUAUAAGUUUUUGGAGUUAAGUGAAAGUAUGGAUGUUAUAUUUGUAUUUAUAAUGUUCGAAUAUAUAUAUGUAUAUAUAUAAAUAAGUUUUUGAAUUUAGUUGAAUUGUGAAUGUUAUAAAAAUAUUCAUAGGGUUCGAAUAAGCAUGUAUAUACAUUUUUAUAUUGAAUUUAAGUAUGAAAUUAUAUAUGUAUAUGUUAGAUUCGAAUAUGUAUAUAUGUACAUGUAUAAGUUAUUGUAUUGAAAUUAGAUAUGAAGUUAUAUAAAUGAGUAUGAGGUUUGAUUGUGUAUGAAUAUAUAUAUAAGUUUAUGAGUUGAAUUAUAAGUAUAAAUUAUAUAUAAAUGAAUAUGAGGUGCAAAUAUGUAUGUAUACACAUGUAUAAUUUUUGUAUUGAAUCAAAGGUAUGAAAUUAUUAGCUUAGAUUAUUUAUAAUAUGUUUGAAUGUAUGAUAUGUUUUCUUUGAAGUGAAUUUAAUGCCAUAAAAUGUGUAUGUAUUUAAGUAAUUCGAAUGUUAAAUGUAUAUUACUUAGGGUAUAUUAUAAAUUUAAUAGUAUGAUAUUAGUAGUAGGAUUCAAGAUAUAAAGUUAUAUACAUAAAUUUGUUAGGUUGAAUCAUGAAGUUAUUGAGCUGGAUUUUGUGUUUGAAUUUCAUGAACCUAUGUGGUUCAAAGAUAUAGGUUAUAAAUUUUGAGCUGAAUUUUUAUGUAUGGAUUUAUAUACAUAUAUAGUUCGAAUAUGAAUUACAGCUUCUUUGAACUGAAAUUAUUGUUGUGAAUUAUACAAGUAUGUUUUAAGUGCAUGAUUGUUACGUAGAAUUGAAUAUAAUUCAAUUCCAACGGAGAAACGACUAUCGGAUUUAUUGCCAGUGAAAUUAU
rnacentral:lncRNA from 1 species